AUUGAACGCUGGCGGCAGGCCUAACACAUGCAAGUCGAGCGGAUGAAGGGAGCUUGCUCCUGGAUUCAGCGGCGGACGGGUGAGUAAUGCCUAGGAAUCUGCCUGGUAGUGGGGGAUAACGUCCGGAAACGGGCGCUAAUACCGCAUACGUCCUGAGGGAGAAAGUGGGGGAUCUUCGGACCUCACGCUAUCAGAUGAGCCUAGGUCGGAUUAGCUAGUUGGUGGGGUAAAGGCCUACCAAGGCGACGAUCUGUAACUGGUCUGAGAGGAUGAUCAGUCACACUGGAACUGAGACACGGUCCAGACUCCUACGGGAGGCAGCAGUGGGGAAUAUUGGACAAUGGGCGAAAGCCUGAUCCAGCCAUGCCGCGUGUGUGAAGAAGGUCUUCGGAUUGUAAAGCACUUUAAGUUGGGAGGAAGGGCAGUAAGUUAAUACCUUGCUGUUUUGACGUUACCAACAGAACAAGCACCGGCUAACUUCGUG
rnacentral:rRNA from 1 species